rnacentral:sRNA from 1 species
UGUAAUUCUUUGUCACAAAAUUGUAUAGC